CCUAAACGUCAAAUUGUUCUUGGAAUGUUUACCUAAAAAUGGUUGAAGCAGCGUGGUGUUCCUAGUUUUGCCUUUUGGAUUUCACAGCUCGCAUUCAAGUGUACAAAAACCACAAAUCGUGCAUCCCAAGGACUUUAGUUAGAAUUCUGGAGUCACAUCAGCAGCCGCUUCAUGCAGGUGUCGUGCGGCCAUGAGAUCAAUAAUUGUAAUAGUGAAUUUGUGAUAUUGUUAAUUUACAAUAAAAUAUAAUGUGUAUAAAACUUUAA